GUGCUUGCUUCGGCAGCACAUAUACUAAAACUGGAAUGAUACAAAAAAGAUUAGCAUGGCCCAUGCUCAAGGAUGACACGCAAAUUUGUGAAUCGUUCUAUAUAUUU